ACAAAUAAAAAAAAUCCAGACUGCUUUAAAAUCCAGGCUUCUCUAAAAACUCACAAUGUACACCAAGGUGAGCCCUGAUUCUGUUAGGACGACAUUCAGUUGAAGCCCACCUAUUCUUCCAAGAAUGUGCCUUCCAACGAAUCCGAGGCUCCACAGCUGCUCAGGUGCUCCGCGUUCUUCUUCUCUUUCACCUGCGGCAUCUUUCACAUCACCUUCCUGAUGCCUGUAUCCAGUAGCUCCCAGUUAGCCUGGGAGAUGGACUGAGUCAGGGGCCAGGUGAUUUCAUUUCCCAUCUAUAUCCCUGGGGCUAUAUUUCUCCUUGGCUAUAGCUACAGACUGUUUGCUAGAAGGCGGGACUCCCGCUUCACUUAGUGAAGCUUGAUUUGCCCAGAGGAGGGGCAAGAGAAACAGAAAGAGAAGCAGCCCAGAUGAGAGAAAAGGUGCUUUAACUUUGAUUGCUGCAGAUUUUCUUGGCGUUUAAGUGCUGAUGAAGCAGGUCAGUCAAAACUGAAGAUCAGCUUUUGAUCAUGAGGAGAUUAGGUCACAGAUGUUCAAUAAGGAAAGACCAUGUGAAGACACAAGAAGAUGGUCAUCUGCAAGCCAAGAGAAAUGUCUCAAAAGGAACUGGCCCUGCUGACAUCUUGACCUUGAAUUUCCAGCCUCAGGUUCUUGGAUGCUUGAUGGAAUUAAGGAUUUGAGAACAUGAGAACAAACAGGAAUAUGCAGGAAAUCUUGAGGACACAGGAGAUGAAGUCAACCUGUGGCCAAGGGAGAGGGAGGGACAUGAGAAGCUUUGUGAAAGAUGUCAGCGCAAACCUCAGGCAAGUGCCACCCAACCUAGAGCUGUGGAUUGAAGUUUGGCGUUGGGGUGUCAGCCUGUGAUUUCCUGAUCUCCAACUCCACUCCUCUUAAGUCACCCAGCCUAAGGCACUGAACCUCAUCAUCAGAACCUCAGAGUCCAACAUCUUGACCAUAGCCUUGCAACCCCACUGUUAGGUUUCUGUAUCCAGUGAAAAUAUCAUUUAAAAGAUAAACAUGAAAUAAACGUUUCCAGCUGGACUACACUAUGUAAAAAUGAAGUUAUUUGGGAUGAAAAAUAAUGACACCACAUAGAUAAUCAUAUUUUCAGUAAAAAUGAGCAAAACCAAAAGUAAAUAAAUUGAUACAUGUACGUUUGUUUGUGUGUUUUUACUUCUCAUAAUUUUACUUAAGGUAUCUAAUUGUCUAAAACAAAAAUUAUAAAUCUGAGAUAGCUCAUAUAAAAGAAAAAUAUCACAACAUUAGCACCAAUUAUAAUAUGGGAAUGAAAUUAAACCAUUGUCAGUUCAUUGCAUUUGUAAAGUAGGAAAUUGAAGCUUUAAGUGUGAGUUGAGA
rnacentral:lncRNA from 1 species